AUGGGAAUAUCAUAGCUAUCACAGUCGUCACUAUCACAUAUGCUGUCCUCCAAAUCAAUCUGAAGUAGCUGAGCGGAUACUCUCCAUUAAAAGGAGUUGGGAACUGAUCAAUUGAUUUCACCUGGUAAGCACCAACUAGGUGAACAGCAAUGCAGAUAUUGGCGAAGUCAAUGAGCCAAAAGGGCUCGUAGAAUCCGAAGCCAGUAAGGAAAUUUCCUGGUGCAUUGUUUCCGAAUGCUGCAUAACCAACACAACCACAGAGUAUGUAGAAAAGACUGGUGGUUGAGAUGCCGACAAAAGUUGCCCUCUUCAUUGCUUUGUUUUCUGGUGGGCUUGAUCUCAAUGUGUCCUGUAAAUUCAUGGGAACAGGGACAUGCUGGGCCAAACCUUGGCCCCGGGGGAAUGAUGCAAGCGACAAGAGUUGGAACAUCAUCAAAAUGGGGUCCACAGGAAGAAGUUUGUUGGACCGUCGUCUCAAAUCCAUACGAAACUCUGUGAUGGUGAUGUAAUGAAUCUGCACCCAAACCCAGAAAGAAAGGAAGAUGCCAUUUUUCUGGGUGCUGAAGAUUGGGACCGCCUUUACAGUACAGUGGAUGUGGUCCACGCAAUUUCUAUGGUCCAUAGAAUCUAAAUCCGAGCCGAAAUUUCAACCACAAUCAUUCUUAUCCAAACGAAAAACAGAGUUCAACGAUAAUUGGUAUGUAUACUUGCGACUUUUGCGAUGGACAGGCCGACUCCGAUGCUAGCGUAAGCAAACGACAUGACGGCGGCGAGAAUAGAGAGCCAUGAGAGCUUGUGGAAGUUGGGAAUUUGGCUGAGCAACACUUGCAUGGCCGAAAAUAGUAGCAUGUAUGGAACACCAGAGACGGUGCAGUCUGCCUGAUGCCCAUUCUUGUGGUAGCAGUUUGACUUCUUCACCGCUCUGAUUUCAUUUCAUUAGUCACAAAAUCAUUGUUAACUUAGCAUUUUAAACCAUCUUAAUUUACAUCUCGGGUUGGUCUA